rnacentral:rRNA from 1 species
CCUGAUUGAUCCUGCCAGUAAUCAUAUACUUGUCUCAAAUAUUAAGUAUAGUCUUAGUGCAUGCUAAAUUAAGGUGAAAUCGCGAAUGGUUCAUUAAAUUAUCAGUUAUGGUUCAUUAGAUUGUACCCACAUUUAUUUGGAUAACUGUAAUUCUAAAGUUAAUGCAUGCAAAACAGUAUCUCGACCAGUGAUGAGAGGGACGCUUUUAUUAAAUCAAAACCAAUCGGUGGCGAGCGGUCUCUAUCCAUCGUUUAUUUUGAUGACUCUGAAUAACUUUGUGCUGACUAACUUUGUUGCCGCAGCGGUCUUAGCAUUGGCGACGCAUCUUUCAAAUGUUUUCCUUAUCAGUUGUCGAUGGUAGGUUCUGCGCCUACCAUGGUUGUAACGGUAAUGGCGAAUCAAGGUUCGAUUCCAGAGAGGGAGCCUGAGAAACGGCUAUCACAUCCAAGGAAGGCAGUAGGCCCGCAAAUUAUCUACUCCUGGCACGAGGAGAUAGGUGACAAAAAAUAACGAUACGGAACUCAUCCGAAGCCCCGUAAUCGAUAUGAAUACACUUUAUCCUUUAAUGAGUAUCCACUGGAGGGCAAGUCUGGUGCCAGCAGCCGCGAUAAUUCCAGCUCCAAUAGUAUAUAUUAAAAUUGUUGCGGUUAAAAAGCUUGUAGUUGAAUCUGUGUCGCACACCGUCGUUCAUCGCUCGCGAUGUUUAAUUAGCGUAAUGUGGGACGUCCUACCGGUGGGCGUAGGCUCGCAAAGGGCGGCCCAACUAAUAUCUCGUCGCGAUGCUCUUUACUGAGUGUCGAGUCGGGCUGGUACGUUUAUUCUGAAUAAAUUAGAGUGCUUAAAGCAGGCUAUCCUCGUCUGAAUACUGCAUGCAUGGAAUAAUGGAAUAGGACUUCUAUUCUAUUUUGUUGGUUUUCGGAACCCCGAGGUAAUGAUUAAUAGGGACAGAUGAGGGCAUUCGUAUUGUGAUGUUAGAAGUGAAAUUCUUGGAUCGUCGCAAGAUGGACAGAAGCGAAAUUUGCCAAAAAUGUUUUCAUUAAUUAAGAACGAAAGUUAAAGGUUCAAAGACGAUCAGUUGUAUCGAUCUAGUUGUAACCAUAAACGAUGCCAGCUAGCGAUCCGCCGAAGUUCCUCUGAUGAAGUUCGGCGAACAGCUUCCGGGAAAUCAAAGCUUUUGGGUUCCGGGAGAAGUCUGAUUGCAAAGCUGAAAUGUAAAGGAAUUGAAGGGAAUGGAAGAGCACCACAAGGAGUGGAGUCUGCUUAAUUUGAUUUAACACGGGAAACCAUAUUAGGCCCAGACACCGGAAAGAUUGACAGAUUGAUAGCUCUUUCUUGAUUCGGUGGGUGGUGGUGCAUGGCCGUUCUUAGUUGGUGGAGCGAUUUGUCUGGUUAAUUCUGAUAACGAGACUCUAGCCUGCUAAAUAGGCAUACCUUAUGGUAUUGCGAAGGCUCCCGGCUUCGGCCGGCGGGUUUUUACUACCAACGUACAAACAAAUCUUCUUAGAGGGACAGGCGGCUUUUAGCCGCACGAGAUUGAGCAAUAACAGGUCUGUGAUGCCCUUAGAUGUUCUGGGCCGCACGCGUGCUACACUGAAGAAAUCAGCGCCUGGCCGAAAGACCCGAGUAACCCGCUGAACCUCCUUCAUGUUAGGGAUUGGGGUUUGCAAUUGUUCCUCAUGAACGAGGAAUUCCCAGUUAAGCGCGAGUCAUAAGUUUGCGUUGAUUAUGUCCCUUCUCUUUGUACACACCGCCCGUCGCUACUACCGAUUGAAUGAUUUAGUGAGGUCUUCGGACUGAUGCGCGGCAAUGUCUCGGCAUUGCCAAUGUUGCCGGAAAGAUGACCAAACUUGAUCAUUUAGAGUAAAGCGGUCUCACUUCCG